GAGAAAACAUUCAUCUCAGCUCAUACACUUAGAUUGUGAGUCUCCACGGGACAAUGCUGUUGUAACAAAAAAGAGUUCAGAGCUCUCAAACUCUUGAGUUUACAGUGGGGGAAACCUUAAAUAGGAAUUACCUAGUAUUCUAGAUGAGUGUGGCACUAUUGAAAGGGAAACUCACUAGAAAGAUCCUUCCGGUUCAAUAGUUGCAAUGCACCUGAGUGACUGGAAGGGCUGGAGCCAGGAUCUACCCCUUUCCAGGACUCAUUUAAGGGAUGGCAGUGGAUGCAAAGGUAUCUUUCUGGAGAUCCCUGCAUAUGUGAGGCCUUCUGAAGUGUUGCAAGGAAUAGAAAACUGUAAGUAGUGAAGGAGAGUCUCUGCUGACAGAGGAAAAGCCUACGGAUGUGCCUUGCAUUGCAGCAUGUCGGCAUCCUCAAUACCUGUGCUGGUUUUCCCAAGGGAAGAACUGAACACCUGGAAAGGAGAACAGGCUCCUGAGGUUGUGCAAAUGGCAGCUGAUUUCUUUAGGUGUUUUUAAAAGAUAUUGUCCAAGGGAGACUUUAUUGGUAUAUCUGGGGACUUUUUUGAGUUUUUGACAUACUCAGAAGCAGUUUGAAAGAAGAAAUAGUAUAUAAAAUGCAACCUGGCAAAGAGGUUUGAAGGGGAACUGCUGCUGGAAAAGAGUACAGCAUGAGCAGGACAGAGCAGCCACCAUCCUGCUCCCUGCCUCCCUCACCCUGAAUGCCAACAUCCUCCCUGCCCCUGCCCGGCCCUUGCAGUUGUCCUUACACUGAUGCACUGCCUUGUCCACUGCACCCAUCCUUGGUGCUUAAUGUGCAGUGACAGGAGCUCUCAUUUUUG
ensembl:lncRNA